CCUACGGGGGGCUGCAGUGAGGAAUAUUGGUCAAUGGGCGCGAGCCUGAUCCAGCCAAGUAGCGUGAAGGAUGACUGCCCUACGGGUUGUAAACUUCUUUUAUAAAGGAAUAAAGUGAGGCACGUGUGACUUUUUGUAUGUACUUUAUGAAUAAGGAUCGGCUAACUCCGUGCCAGCAGCCGCGGUAAUACGGAGGAUACGAGCGUUAUCCGGAUUGAUUGGGUUUAAAGGGAGCGCAGCUGGGUUGUUAAGUCAGUUGUGAAAGUUUGCGGCUCAACCGUAAAAUUGCAAUUGAUACUGGCAGGCUUGAGUACAGUAGAGGUAGGCGGAAUUCGUGGUGAAGCGGUGAAAUGCUUAGAUAUCACGAAGAACUCCGAUUGCGAAGGCAGCUUACUAAACUGCCACUGACAUUGAGGCUCGAAAGUGUGGGUAUCAAACAGGAUUAGAUACCCUUGUAGUC
rnacentral:rRNA from 1 species